rnacentral:rRNA from 1 species
AUGGGAGCUUGCUCCCUGAUGUUAGCGGCGGACGGGUGAGUAACACGUGGGUAACCUGCCUGUAAGACUGGGAUAACUCCGGGAAACCGGGGCUAAUACCGGAUGGUUGUCUGAACCGCAUGGUUCAGACAUAAAAGGUGGCUUCGGCUACCACUUACAGAUGGACCCGCGGCGCAUUAGCUAGUUGGUGAGGUAACGGCUCACCAAGGCGACGAUGCGUAGCCGACCUGAGAGGGUGAUCGGCCACACUGGGACUGAGACACGGCCCAGACUCCUACGGGAGGCAGCAGUAGGGAAUCUUCCGCAAUGGACGAAAGUCUGACGGAGCAACGCCGCGUGAGUGAUGAAGGUUUUCGGAUCGUAAAGCUCUGUUGUUAGGGAAGAACAAGUGCCGUUCAAAUAGGGCGGCACCUUGACGGUACCUAACCAGAAAGCCACGGCUAACUACGUGCCAGCAGCCGCGGUAAUACGUAGGUGGCAAGCGUUGUCCGGAAUUAUUGGGCGUAAAGGGCUCGCAGGCGGUUUCUUAAGUCUGAUGUGAAAGCCCCCGGCUCAACCGGGGAGGGUCAUUGGAAACUGGGGAACUUGAGUGCAGAAGAGGAGAGUGGAAUUCCACGUGUAGCGGUGAAAUGCGUAGAGAUGUGGAGGAACACCAGUGGCGAAGGCGACUCUCUGGUCUGUAACUGACGCUGAGGAGCGAAAGCGUGGGGAGCGAACAGGAUUAGAUACCCUGGUAGUCCACGCCGUAAACGAUGAGUGCUAAGUGUUAGGGGGUUUCCGCCCCUUAGUGCUGCAGCUAACGCAUUAAGCACUCCGCCUGGGGAGUACGGUCGCAAGACUGAAACUCAAAGGAAUUGACGGGG